AGAGUUUGAUCCUGGCUCAGAACGAACGCUGGCGGCAGGCUUAACACAUGCAAGUCGAACGCUCGUAGCAAUACGGGAGUGGCAGACGGGUGAGUAACGCGUGGGAACAUACCCUCCGGUUCGGAAUAGCUCAGGGAAACUUGGAUUAAUACCGGAUACGGCUGAGAGGCGAAAGAUUUAUCGCCGGAGGAUUGGCCCGCGUUCGAUUAGCUUGUUGGUGAGGUAACGGCUCACCAAGGCGAUGAUCGAUAGCUGGUCUGAGAGGAUGAUCAGCCACAUUGGGACUGAGACACGGCCCAAACUCCUACGGGAGGCAGCAGUGGGGAAUAUUGGACAAUGGGCGCAAGCCUGAUCCAGCCAUGCCGCGUGAGUGAUGACGGCCUUAGGGUUGUAAAGCUCUUUCGCUCGGGACGAUAAUGACGGUACCGAGAUAAGAAGCCCCGGCUAACUUCGUGCCAGCAGCCGCGGUAAUACGAAGGGGGCUAGCGUUGUUCGGAAUUACUGGGCGUAAAGCGCGUGUAGGCGGGUCUUUAAGUCAGGGGUGAAAUGCCAAGGCUCAACCUUGGAACUGCCUUUGAUACUGGAGAUCUUGAGUCCGGGAGAGGUGAGUGGAAUUGCGAGUGUAGAGGUGAAAUUCGUAGAUAUUCGCAAGAACACCAGUGGCGAAGGCGGCUCACUGGCCCGGAACUGACGCUGAGACGCGAAAGCGUGGGGAGCAAACAGGAUUAGAUACCCCCGUAGUCC
rnacentral:rRNA from 1 species